CUGACCCCUCCUCUAAAUGACUUUGGUUUUCCCAUGGGAAUGUUUGGUCGAAAGGCAAUUUGAGUUAUUAACAAGGUCAUACAUUUUGGGGAAAUGUUCAACUGGAUUUUUUGUUUGUUUUUUUAAAAAAAUCCAAAAUCUUUUAUGCAACAAUUCUUGGCAUAGAGAAGUAGUUCUGAACCCUCUUAGCUCCAAGAGACCUCCUUUUUUUGGAAAACAAAAACAAAAACAAAACCUUUUAACUGUAGUAAGAUAAACAACAUAAAAUGUAUCGUCUUAACCAUUUCUAAGUACAUAGUUCAGGGGCAGUAAGUACAUUCACACGGUUGUGCAACCAUCACCCCCAUCUAUCUCCAGAGCUUUUUUCAUCCCUACUCUACUGCCUGUAUGAAUUUCA
rnacentral:lncRNA from 10 species